rnacentral:rRNA from 1 species
AACGUAGGUGGCAAGCGUUAUCCGGAUUCACUGGGCGUAAAGCGCGUGCAGGUGGCUCUGUAAGUUGGAUGUUAAAUCUCUCGGCCUAACCGGGAGUGGUCAUUCAAUACUGCGGGGCUUGAGGGCAGAAGAGGGGGGUGGAAUUGCCGGUGUAGUGGUGAAAUGCGUAGAUAUCGGCAGGAACACCUGUGGCGAAAGCGGCCCCCUGGUCUGCUCCUGACACUCAGACGCGAAAGCUAGGGUAGUGAACGGG